rnacentral:rRNA from 1 species
AGUGAACGCUGGCGGUAGGCCUAACACAUGCAAGUCGAACGGCAGCACAGUAAGAGCUUGCUCCUACGGGUGGCGAGUGGCGGACGGGUGAGGAAUACAUCGGAAUCUACUUUUUCGUGGGGGAUAACGUAGGGAAACUUACGCUAAUACCUCAUACGUCCUACGGCUUAAAGCAGGAGAUCUUCGGACCUUGCGUGACAGUAUUAGCCGAUGUCGGAUUAGCUAGUUGGCGGGGUAAAGGCCCACCAAGGCGACGAUCCGUAGCUGGUCUGAGAGGAUGAUCGGCCACACUGGAACUGAGACACGGUCCAGACUCCUACGGGAGGCAGCAGUAGGGAAUAUUGGACAAUGGGCGCAAGCCUGAUCCAGCCAUACCGCGUGGGUGAAGAAGGUCUUCGGGUUGUAAAGCCCUUUUGUUGGGGAAGAAAAGCAGCAGAUUAAUCCCCCGCUGUUCUGACGGUACCCAAAGAGUAAGCACCGGCUAACUUCGUG